CGCGCUCACAGAGUGCGGCACCAGGGGGCAGCGCGCGCUGCGCGUCCGUUAGGAGUGGCAGACGGAGCUGCACAUGUGUAGUCAGCCGGAAUUUUUCGUGUCGUGUUGUAAAAGUUGUUAAUUUGCCGUAAAUAUCUCUUGAUUUGUACUCAAGAGUGAAGCAAGACUCCAAGGAAGAGAGAUUGACGCAUCGGGAGCGAAGGACAGAAACGAUGGAUGGUUACGCUGCUUGGGUCUCGGCACGUUCGAAUUGGCAAAGUUCCGAAUUUGUCGCUGUGUUUUGUACGCUUGUGCGCUCGUCAUUUGCCGUCAUCGCGCGGAGAUAUUUGCGCUGGAUGUCUUUCACUUCGUGUACAAAACUCUGCACGCUGCGGCAUCGAAGAAGUUGUCCUGUGUUUGGGUGCACGUAUGCGCUUGGACACGGAUAUAUCCUGCUUGCUCUCAACGGGUGUUCAACAGUCUACGCGCACUCGUAACUUGCUCAUGAGGCAAGUUGUUGUUGUGCUGGAGCUGAGAAGAGGUCUGCUGCCUGCAAUGGGUCCUCAAGUUAUCGCAGUAUUGUAGCUCUCAAAGUUCAAAAAAGUAUGGUGGAAGCUGUUGCCAAGGUUCCGACCAGAAAAGACAGCCAGUAUAAAAGGGUCCACACCACUGAUCUCUACUACAGGGGAUGGACAGCACAUCGAGCACCCUCGACGGAAGCCAACCUUGUCCCGGAAAUUGGUGCUUCACAACUUUGCGGCAGCACUUCGUUUACACGGCCUGUGGAGACAAGGUUUCUUAGACAUGGCCAUGGCCCUCAAGGAAGAUGCCGAGGCCACAGGCAGUUCCUCCAGUGACCGUGAAAAGGUCCCCUGGGGCACAAGUCUAAUUUGGCACCCCUACCUUUCUCCUGCAGCUUUUCUGUCUACUUAGCUAACCAGCAGCAAGUUUAUCCUUGCAAGCAUUUUGGGUCAAGAACAACUUUCACCAGGAAGAAGUGCAAGACGAGUGAUUGAAGAAAAUAAAGUUGCUUCUGUGAUCUAAGAA